rnacentral:misc_RNA from 1 species
UCCGGUUUGUCACCGGCAGUCCCAUUAGAGUGCUCAACUAAAUGUGGCAACUAAUGGCAAGGGUUGCGCUCGUUGCGGGACUUAACCCAACAUCUCACGACACGAGCUGACGACAGCCAUGCACCACCUGUGAUGGUGUCCCGAAGGAAUACCGUGUUUCCACGGCUGUCACCAACAUGUCAAGCCCAGGUAAGGUUCUUCGCGUUGCGUCGAAUUGAACCACAUGCUCCGCUGCUUGUGCGGGCCCCCGUCAAUUCAUUUGAGUUUUAACCUUGCGGCCGUACUCCCCAGGCGGUCAACUUAAUGCGUUAGCUCCGGCACAGCGGGAUUCGAUACCCGCUAUACCAAGUGUUCAUCGUUUACAGCUAGGACUAC